rfam:Triticum urartu cultivar G1812 contig1216192, whole genome shotgun sequence.
AAAGUACUCCCUCCGUCCCAAUAUUCUUGUCUUAGAUUUGUCUAGAUACGGAUGUAUCAAGUCACAUUUUAGUAUUAGAUACAUCCGUAUCUAGACAAAUCUAAGACAAGAAAUUUGGGACAGAGGGAGUAGUUG